rnacentral:rRNA from 2 species
AUUGAUGGUGCUUGCACCUGAUUGACGAUGGAUCACCAGUGAGUGGCGGACGGGUGAGUAACACGUAGGUAACCUGCCCCGGAGCGGGGGAUAACAUUUGGAAACAGAUGCUAAUACCGCAUAACAACAAAAGCCACAUGGCUUUUGUUUGAAAGAUGGCUUUGGCUAUCACUCUGGGAUGGACCUGCGGUGCAUUAGCUAGUUGGUAAGGUAACGGCUUACCAAGGCGAUGAUGCAUAGCCGAGUUGAGAGACUGAUCGGCCACAAUGGAACUGAGACACGGUCCAUACUCCUACGGGAGGCAGCAGUAGGGAAUCUUCCACAAUGGGCGCAAGCCUGAUGGAGCAACACCGCGUGAGUGAAGAAGGGUUUCGGCUCGUAAAGCUCUGUUGUUGGAGAAGAACGUGCGUGAGAGUAACUGUUCACGCAGUGACGGUAUCCAACCAGAAAGUCACGGCUAACUACGUGCCAGCAGCCGCGGUAAUACGUAGGUGGCAAGCGUUAUCCGGAUUUAUUGGGCGUAAAGCGAGCGCAGGCGGUUGCUUAGGUCUGAUGUGAAAGCCUUCGGCUUAACCGAAGAAGUGCAUCGGAAACCGGGCGACUUGAGUGCAGAAGAGGACAGUGGAACUCCAUGUGUAGCGGUGGAAUGCGUAG